rnacentral:lncRNA from 1 species
CAUUCUUGACUUUGAGUUACCAAGGCCCUAUAGAGUAGUAAUGGGCCUUCCUUUACAGCAAAAUACUCAACUGUCAGGAUCCAUCUAGGAGAGCCUAAGGCUAGCAGGUGACUUUCCUAGAUAUGACCUACCAUUUUUGCAUGGCCUAUGAUGGGUGAGCUCUUAAGAGGCAAGGUCCCAAUAGACUUUAUUUCAGGAUUGAUUGCUUCUUACAGCUGGUAUGCCUUUUUCUGUCAUUAGUACAUAGUCUAAUGGCUCCUGCAUAAUAAGGAAUACAAAAGAGAAAUAGGCUGGGGACAAAUUUGUGAUCGAGGAAAAACACCCUAUGUCAGAUCCAAGGAUGAAGCCACAAGUAUGUACUAUGAUAAAGGGAGGUUAUGGGAAACUGUUGCUUUGAACUUAUAAUGAGCUUAUAGACUGAAACACUGCUUUGAACUAUCAACAUCCUGCAAUUCCCCCUUUAUCAUUUUUCUAUGAGAACUUUCUAAAGAACUUUUGUCUAAGAAGGUAUAAGGCCAGAGAAAAGGAAUAAAGUGUGGCAUCUGGGGCUGUGUGGCCCAUCCACCAAAUGUAUGUAUGUAUGUAUGUAUGUAUGUCACUAUGCAUGAACACAUGUGAAGUCGAUGAGACAAGUGGUCCAGUCGGACCUCUGGUUCACGAAGAGUUAAUGAGUUCCAAACCUCUCUCCUGGCCAGCAAAAGGUCCUUAAGAGAGAAAAGAAACCAGUGCUAAAUACCACAAAAUAGUAAGAGAAAAUUACAGAGAAAGAAGCCAGCCUUUUUAAAGCACAAAUACUAAGAGAAAAGAAACCAGCACUUACUAAAGCACAAACAGUAAGAUUAUACGGCCAGGGAUCAUCAGUCUUUGACCUUUAUUUGAUGCUGUGUCCCACCCAGUCCCGGUGCCCUAAAGGCUGGGGCAGGCCCAUGGCACCCAACAGUUCUCUUCUGUGCUGAGGAUCACCAAUUACUUUUGAUAUGGAUAACAUAACAAAAAUGCUAAUUAUAGACAUAAAAACAUCCUGGCCAAGUUAUUUCAGAGAACUCAGUCCUGACUAAAACUGCUCAUCCAUGUGCCUUCUCUGAGUAUGAAGAGCUCCUGAUUCCUUAAAAUAGUCUUUGUGAGGUGUUCUACAGUUGUUUUGUUUAUAGAAAUCUUACCAGCUUCUGACACAUGAGGAAUUUCUACUUAGUCCUGGGAGUUACAAGCCUGUUCAAAACUUGAAGGAGGAUCUAGGUGAAGUUGUUCAGCUGUUAGAAAGGUUGCUCUUGAAAAGGUCCUGAGUUCAAUUCACAGUAACCACAUGGUGGCUCACAACCAUCUAUAUAAUAGAAUCUGAUGCCCUCUUCUGGAAUGCAAGAGUAUAUGCAGACAGAGCACUUGCAUAUAAAAGAAUACAUGAACAAAACAAAACAUGGAGGUUUACCCUCUGUUCAGCUCUACUCUAAAUAGAAGGGUAUCCCAGCUUGUCGCUCCCACUAUUGUGAAUCUCAAGGGUUCAUAGGAAAACAAAGAUGGCAAACUACUCUAACUGGUCCUACAGCCCUAGGAAGGCUUCUCUUCAAAAGGGAUUAUAGAAGCCAAUUAUCAGCUAAGUAAUAUGAGUAAAGGCCUCUCUGCCUGGAGGUUUUCUUGUUAAUAGUUUUUCUUAGCUAGCUUGUCUGUUACAGGUCAUCCUAACCCACUUCACCCUGAACUAACCUCUUUCUAAAUCAUGUUAUCCCAAUUCUCCCUAACACACAAAUGAUGAAAUAAUACUGGUCACAUCCUCCUCACCUGCUACAGUUUGGAUUUUCCUCAUGGUCCUGAGUGUCCGCACACUUGGUCUCCAGCUGGUAACUCUGUGUUGGGAGAUUGUGAAACCUUUGGGGCAUAAGUGAGUUCUAGCUGUUGUCUGUGGGUCACUGCAGGCAAGCCUCCAGGGUAAUAUGCUAAUAGUCACUUCUCUAUCAUGGAUUCAGACAAGAUGCCAAUGGUGUUGGACUGAAGCCAUGGGUGGAAAUCCUUACUUAUGUUGCUUCUGCCUGGUAUUUUGUCACAGAAUGGGGAGAAGAGUAAAUGAUAACAACAGCAAUAACAAUAAUGAUAAUAGUAAUGAUGAUGAUGAUGAUGCUUCCCAGAAGCCUUAGGUCUGGCUAGUUGCUGAAUUUGCCACCAACGUCCAUAUCUGGCUCUUUUUACUUGAAAUUCCUGCAAACAUAAAAGUGGUCUCUUUAGACAGAUUUUUCUUUUUCAAGCAAAGCCUACCCACCCUAAUCCUACAGUGCCCUUAGACAGCUAAACAAACGAAUUUUUGUUCAUUUCUAUUCCAAAUCUAUGGUCUGGCUUACUAGCAGAGUCACAGAUAUUAAAUCAGAGACCACUUAUGUGAGAGGACUCAUGCUAUGAGAAUGACCCCAGGAGAUCCCCAGACCAUUUUCUCAGGUACUCAGGGAUGGAAUUUUAUUUGCUAUUAUAACCAAUCCUCUGAGAAAACAAACAAAUAAAUAAAACCAGCGUCCUCCAACUCUGCUGCUUCCUUGGUUGUGUGCACCCUCCUGUAACAUUGUUCUCUACCACAUUUGUCAACUGGGUGUGAUAUCACAUGCAUCUAUUCCCAGGCAGAGGCUGGCAGAUCUCUGAAUUCGAAGCCAGUGUGGUCUACAAGUGAGUUCCAGGACAUCUGGGGCUACACAGAGAAACCCUAUCUGAUUUAUUU